rnacentral:tRNA from 3 species
UCCGAUAUGGUCUAGUGGCUAGGAUUUGCCGCUCUCACCGGCAAGGCCCGGGUAAGUUCAAUCACAGUAACCCACUCCGACAACUCAAUCUAACAUCUUAAAAGGUUCGAUUCCCGGUGUCGGAA